rnacentral:misc_RNA from 1 species
UCUCUCGUUCUUGUAUGUUGAAUCUCUAUAAUCUUGUUAUAUUGUUUGAUCUUUGGUUCCUUUCUAAAGUCUCUCUCCCUCUCUCUCUCCAAGAUAUAGAGAGAGGGUGGGGGCCGGGGGGCGUGGCCUGUUGAGUGGGUGAACCUUUUUAUAUUUUUCUUAUACUUUAAGUGAAUUGUCCUUGAACCAAUUGUAGUUUGCUUCUGGCAGUGAAUGUCCUAUGGUUCUAUGUCAAAAAAUUUAUAAGUCUCUUAUUUGAAAUGCUAAGCUUUUUAUGGAAUUUUAUGCUUUCUUGUAACUUCUGCUUACUUAAUUUGCUUUCUCCAUGACAAGUAAUCCUUGUUCUUUGCCUUUCUUCAAUGUCUUAUGCUAGACACUUCUUUAUUCUUCUGGUAUUUUCUUCUUUAAAAUAUAAACUUUUAUCAGAAAUAUUCAUUAUUGCAUGUAUUGAUCAGCUUUUCUAAAUAUUGUUUCCCUUAUUAAAUAUCCUACUUGACAAAUAUUUAUCUUCCCCACUAAUGUAGAGUUCUAUUAAGUGGUUGCUAAAAUUAGCAAGCCAUAAGAGUAGAGACAUGCAUUUUCUUGGUUUUUUCAUUAGAUGUGCUGGUGGGCAGACUGCCUAAUGAAGAAUGUUUCAACCUAUGAUACUAGAAAAACAUUAUACUCAUUAUCUUGGCAAUCAAGUGAGGUGGAAUCUUCUAUAGUUGCCUGAUUAUUGUCUAUUACAGGUUGUUGCAGGUGUCUCUUGGAUCAUGUUUCUCAUGUUGGACCAAGUGUCCUAAUCAUUGAUUGAACCAUAUAUGUGCUUUUAUUAACUCGAUAUGUUGUUGCUAUCAACUGCAGGAAAUGACAUCUGCAGAAGUUG